CUGAGCUUUGGAGGAGAAAGAAUUGAGAGGGAGAUCAGGGAGGGGCAGAGAGCCCUUGAGGCUGCCUUAGAAGUCUACCCUAAGACUCGUUAGAAGUUGAUGGCUCUUCGAUGGAGGAAAUCACCUUGAUCAGCCUUGAUAAAACUUGGAUGAAGCACUGGGGAUGCAGCUUGGUUGUUCGAGUGCCUGCUUAGUUUGCAUGAAGUCCUGAGUUCUGUUUACAGUACGUAAAAGAACCAGGUGUGGAGAAUUUGUGUUCUUCAGUCAUCACGGCUUGACUGCAAGAUAGAUGGCAAAUAUUUCCCUGCCAUCUGUGGAUCUCAAGAUGCUUUCAUGAUAAACAGACAGAUGACUGAAGCCAGAAGAUAAUUUUUUAUUUUUAAUUUCUUUUGACAACAUCUUGCUAUACAGCCAAGGCUGACUGGAACUCAUUAUGCAAUUCAACCUGUCCUUGAACUUGUAAUGAUUUUUCUACCUCAACUUCUUCUUGAGUUACCAGUGGAAGCAAACAUGUUUUUGGCUCUGUGCAUGGCUGUGUGUGAGUGCACGUGUGUGUAGACCAACAUAAGAUGUUUUCUCCUCUUUCCCUUUGUUUUAUUGAGA